AAAGACUUGACGGUGCUUCACAACAGCCUAGAGGAGCCUGUCUAAUAACCGAUACCCCACGAUUAACCCAACCCACUCUAGCCCAUCAGUCUAUAUACCGCCGUCGCCAGCUUACCUUGUGAAAGAAAUAAAGUAAACUCAAUAGACCACCCUCUAACACGACAGGUCGAGGUGUAACAAAUGGGUGGGUAAAAGAUGGGCUACAUUUUCUAACACAGAAAACACGAAUGAACUAUGAAACUAAAAACUGAAGGCGGAUUUAGUAGUACAUUAGGAAUAGAUACACCUAACCGAAACUAAUGCAAUGAAGUGCGUACACACCGCCCGUCAUCCCUG
rnacentral:rRNA from 1 species